UUUAUUUUAUAAAAACAAAAUCAAUAUUCGUCUCUCCCCUAAACCUAAAACCAAUUCAUCUUCCAAUUCUCUCACAUCCAACUCUCUCUCCCCGCCGCAAUUCAAUUCCUCUUCCCCAUUCUCCCACAUCCGACUCUUCUCUCACCGCCUCAAUUCGCCGUACUGGUCACCUCCACCAUCGCCUUCGACUGACUCCCGCACACAACACAGUCCGCCGCCUUCCUUGGGGACGGCGAAAUCGCCGCUCCUCCCUCUCUUUCACGCAACCCGCCCACUCCUCCCUUCCUGCAGUUCCCGGCAAGUAACGGUGAAGACCGCCACCGUCGUCUCAAUCCCCGAUUCUCCCUUGCCCUUCCCCCUAUCUACAGAACCCUACGACCGUAGUGGCUCAAGACCACGGCCAUUGUCGUCCGCCACCGAGCCGCGCUGGCACCCUCUGCAUCGAUGGGUCACACUCCUGCCCUCACUGCCUCGCCCCGACCUGUCUCCUUUGAUAAGUCGGCGCUGCCGCCCCUCAGUCCGCUGCUAUCCCUAGCAGAUACGUCAGCCAUGGAAAUCGUUUCCAGUUUCCAGUGAAUCCAUCUGCCCAAGCUUGCAAUGACUCUGAGCGAGGUGGUACGGUAUUUUGAAAAUAGUUGUUGCUCGCUGCCUAUGACUCAUGACCAGCUAUUGUUGAGAUACGAGUUUCAGGAAGAUCAUUCCUUAUUAAGGAAAGAUGAAUUUGAGUAUGACCAUGAUCCGGUCAAGGUUCAAAUCAAGUUAUUUCUCGAGUUUUGGUUGGGCAAUAGAGAAGCCAGUUACCCUCCUAUGGAGGAGCUCUGGAAAUGCAAGUUCUGCAAGUUUGCCUCUGUAUGUCCAAUUAACUCGGACCCAGAUGAUUCUCCAAGCAAAACGAAAAGCGAAGGCAUUCCUUCGCUUGAUCUGACUCCUAAGUAAGCCAUUCUUCAUACUCAGCUUCUCAAAGAAAAUGAGCAGUUGGAUUUAUUGAAUCUGCUUGAUUCUUGCUGGGGGUUGUUGCUGUUAAUCUCUCCCAUUUGGAGGAUUUACUACGUGGUUUAAUUUGUUGAUCAGUUUAAUAUUGUUGUAUAGUUCAUUAUUGUUGUUGAUUGUUAUAACAUAGGAUCAAAUGUCAAAUAUGUAAUUGUGAAAUUGUAUUGCAUUUGCUGCUGCAUUGUAAAGUUCAGCCCAGAACUUAUUUAUGUAUUAUUUGAAGUGUCCGAUAAUUGAAAUGGAAAUUUGCAUAUUCUCUCUUU